CGCAUCUGUGCAUGCAGCAUAUCAAUAAGCGGAGGAAAAGAAACUAACAAGGAUUCCCCUAGUAACGGCGAGUGAAGCGGGAAGAGCUCAAAUUUGAAAUCUUAAAGGGUUUCCCUUUACGAAUUGUAGUUUAAAGAAGUGUUUUCUGUUGAGGUUUUGGUAAAAGUUCUUUGGAAUAGGACAUCAUAGAGGGUGAGAAUCCCGUAUUUGACCUUUACUUUCAACUUUGUGAUACACUUUCAAAGAGUCGGAUUGUUUGGGAAUGCAGUCCAAAAUGGGUGGUAAAUUUCAUCUAAAGCUAAAUAUUGGCGAGAGACCGAUAGCGAACAAGUACCGUGAGGGAAAGAUGAAAAGAACUUUGAAAAGAGGAGUUAAACAGUACGUGAAAUUGUCAAAAGGGAAGCGUUUGACACCAGUGUUGUUUUUCUGAAAAUCAAUUAAAGAACUGUUUAUGCUAAGUUGUUUAGACUUUAUCAGCUAUCUGCUUAGUUUUGAGCUUUUCUUUAAUGCACUUUUCAGUUAACAAGUCAACAUCAAUUUCUUUUGCUGUAAAAAAGCUUGAGGAAGGUGGCUUGAGAUUCGUCUUAAGUGUUUAUAGCCUCUUGCCUAUGUAGUCGGAGAGAUUGAGGUCUGCAGCGUAGAUCCUUCGGGGCUAAAUGCAUUUGUGCUAAGUUAUAGCAUUUUAUAGACAACUUGUUGACUAUGAUUUGUCUUGUAGCUUACUCGCUUAUGUUAUUUUACCUACGCUUAGGAUGUUGAAUCUGUGCGAGACUAC
rnacentral:rRNA from 1 species